CCUACGGGGGGCAGCAGUGGGGAAUAUUGCACAAUGGGCGCAAGCCUGAUGCAGCCAUGCCGCGUGUGUGAAGAAGGCCUUCGGGUUGUAAAGCACUUUCAGCGGGGAGGAAGGCGGUGAGGUUAAUAACCUCAUCGAUUGACGUUACCCGCAGAAGAAGCACCGGCUAACUCCGUGCCAGCAGCCGCGGUAAUACGGAGGGUGCAAGCGUUAAUCGGAAUUACUGGGCGUAAAGCGCACGCAGGCGGCCUGUCAAGUCGGAUGUGAAAUCCCCGGGCUCAACCUGGGAACUGCAUUCGAAACUGGCAGGCUAGAGUCUUGUAGAGGGGGGUAGAAUUCCAGGUGUAGCGGUGAAAUGCGGAGAGAUCUGGAGGAAUACCGGUGGCGAAGGCGGCCCCCUGGACAAAGACUGACGCUCAGGUGCGAAAGCGUGGGGAGCAAACAGGAUUAGAUACCCUUGUAGUC
rnacentral:rRNA from 1 species